rnacentral:RNase_P_RNA from 1 species
GAGAUCGGUUGGACGGUCGCGCAUUAGUAUCCUCGCGAUACUAAUUCGAGGAAAGUCCGGGCUCCGUGGGUAGGGCUGCCAGGUAAUGCCUGGGCAUGGCGGGAAACUGCUGUGACGGAAAGUGCCACAGAAAACAAACCGCCUCUCCGGAGGUAAGGGUGAAAAGGUGGGGUAAGAGCCCACCGCGUCCAUGGCAACAUGGACGGCACGGUAAACCCCGGCUGGAGCAAGGCCAAGUAAGCGGCGAGAGUGCCCACCUCGAUAAAGACGCCGCGGGUAGGCUGCUAGAGAGCACGAGCGAUCGUGCUCCGAGAGAAAUGAUCGUCACGGUGGCUAGACCAUCGAACAGAACCCGGCUUAUAGACCGAUCGCUUGA